rnacentral:lncRNA from 1 species
CGGGACCCGGCCGGCGCGGGCAGGACGGCCCCACGCACAGAGCCCGUGAGAGCUGCGCUGCGGCAGCAGCCGCCUGCGCCCGGCAGGCGUGAGCUGGGCGCCGGCCUCUCCCCGGGGCGCCGGCCUCUCCGUGCGUGCAAGGGAGGAGACGGUCAACACGACCCAUCGGGGACCCAUCGCGGGACCCGGUGCCCGCGCCCGGCUGCCCCUAGACCUCGCGGCGCCCAGCCUCGGGUCUCGCCCGGCCCCCGUGGGCACCGCCAGGCAACUCGCGCGUGGAAACGGACAGUCCCCCGCCACGAGAACGGGGCCCCGUGUCCCUAAAGGACACCAGGGAUCUCCACGAGCAGGAAGAAUAAGGCAGGGCGAAGUGCUCUGAUGGAAAUCAUGCAAACUCUUCCACCUCACACUGAUCGUCUCUGCAGGGUUACCUUCAAAACCUCAAGCAAUGCUGUUUGCAGUUUCAUUGCCUGGAUUAUGGGCACCGUGUAAAGCCAGUCGCUGAUGGGCUGAUGGGUUGGAGGAUUCUAGAUUCUUCACAGAGCUGGCAAGAUAUGCUUCCAGUUUGUGACCAUGGCUUCAAGGAAAUCCCUGUCUAGGCCUUUUCUGCUUCUCUGGAUAGGCAGAGAACUGCCUGUAGCUAUACUCCGGGUCCCCAAACAAUAAUGAGGGGACAGUGCUGUGAGAUGAGCCAGAACUGCUUGCUUCUUUCCUUCCUGUCAUUCUGCAAGCAUUUGACCAGACAUGAGGGAACAAGCUUAGCAAGUCAGACUUCAUGCCUUCAGGAAGCACACAGACCUGUGUGGGAGACAGAAGAGAGGCAAUGACAGUGACUGUGAUGGGUCCAUCUCUCCACCCACUGAAUUCAGGAUAAUAGGCCAAUCGCUUUUGCAUCUUCAAAAAUUCUGUCCAGCCCUUUGUCCACAUAGAUCAUUAUUAAACUCUCUUCCUGUUACCAAGUUUGAGUCCAAGACCUGUU